AGCCAGGUGUCAAGAGGAGCUUUUGCUCACCUUAUCACACGCAAACAAAUGGACUUGUUGAAAAACUUAAUAGCACAAUUCAACGGGAGGCCAGAUACCCCUCUGAGGUACCAAGUGAGUGUGAGAUAACGGAUGCUAAAGUGGAGACACUAGUGAGGGAGGAAGUUGUCUGUGAGGCCUUAAAAAAACAUGGCGUGUAUCAGCAGGUGCAGACAAACGCAAGAAAAUGGAGCUACAGGACAAAAGGGCCAUACUACGAUCUACAACAGACAAUACUUAGACGACGACAAACAUCAACCAUUUAACACAUUUCAUUGAGCCAGAGGAGAGGGUUCAGGCUAAGCUCAGAAGAAUUGAGGGGCCCUCUCCUCUGGCCCCACACCACAGCACAACAGGUCACAACACCUCUGGUCCAUCAGCAGUCCACAAAUUCAAUCACCCUGAUGCUGCCAGCACCCCUCCAUUAUACUCUCCAGCCUCCUCUGCCACACUGUCCUGUGCAAGCACCCCUCCAAUAAACACACUCUCCCAUCUCUCCGGCCACUACCAGCUGCCACAGUGAACAGACAUCUAGUAUGACACACCCUGACCAAAGCAAAGGGGGAGAUACUGUGGGCAAAGGUUGGACCCUAGAAGUUGUUCAUAUCCGAUCUCCAGAGCCUUGCCCCUGGAAGGGAACUGGAGAGUGAGCUGGAUGCUGCAAAGUAUGAUGCAUUAAUUGGAGCAGUUUGCAAAGACAGACACUGGACUGUGGUGGCUAUAUACCCCAAGGAACGAAAGGCCCUUUUUGGUGCCACCAGUGCCCAGGUGCAGAAAUGUAAUGAAAUGACAAGGGCCUUCAUCAGAAGGAGGAACAUCAGCGUCUCCAGGUGGUCAUGUGACACAAUUUCCCACCUCCACCAGCAAGACACAACAUCAUGUGGGGUGCUGGUGUGUAAAAACAUAUAUUAAAAGGGACAGGAGGCUGACUUUCCAGUUGACAUGGAGGCAGUCAACCGAAUGAGAAAGGAAAUGGCCCAAACGCUGAUUUCAAAGUCAGAUUGAAUGCAUGUCAUGUGGUAGAUGGUUCCACUGGGUCUGUGUGGGGCGGCCUCCAACAGAGAAGGAAUAUUGG